GUGCUCACUUGGGCAGCAUGUAUACUAAAAUUGGCACAAUAUAGAGAAGCCUAGCAUGGUCGCUGCACCAGGGCAUACAAAUUGGUUCAGUAUGAUGUAUUUCU